rnacentral:misc_RNA from 1 species
ACACCUCAACUCUCAUGGCUUGCCAUGAUGAGCUUGGACUUUGGGGGUCUUGCUGGCCUGUGAGUCAGCUCCUCUCAAAUGAAUUAGCUUGCCAGUGUUUGGUGGCAUCACAGGUGUGAUAACUGUCUACGCUUGUGGUUUUCCACCAGGUAACCUUCAGCAAUGGAGGUUUGCUGGAGCUCAUAAAUGUCUCUCCUCGGUGAGGACAGAUUUUUGACC